UACGGAGGGAGCUAGCGUUGUUCGGAAUUACUGGGCGUAAAGCGCACGUAGGCGGCUUUGUAAGUUAGAGGUGAAAGCCCGGGGCUCAACCCCGGAAUUGCCUUUAAGACUGCAUCGCUUGAAUCCGGGAGAGGUGAGUGGAAUUCCGAGUGUAGAGGUGAAAUUCGUAGAUAUUCGGAAGAACACCAGUGGCGAAGGCGGCUCACUGGACCGGUAUUGACGCUGAGGUGCGAAAGCGUGGGGAGCAAACAGGG
rnacentral:rRNA from 1 species